AGUGAACGCUGGCGGUAGGCCUAACACAUGCAAGUCGAACGGCAGCACAGUAAGAGCUUGCUCUUACGGGUGGCGAGUGGCGGACGGGUGAGGAAUACAUCGGAAUCUACUUUUUCGUGGGGGAUAACGUAGGGAAACUUACGCUAAUACCGCAUACGACCUACGGGUGAAAGUAGGGGAUCUUCGGACCUUGCGCGAUUGAAUGAGCCGAUGUCGGAUUAGCUAGUUGGCGGGGUAAAGGCCCACCAAGGCGACGAUCCGUAGCUGGUCUGAGAGGAUGAUCAGCCACACUGGAACUGAGACACGGUCCAGACUCCUACGGGAGGCAGCAGUGGGGAAUAUUGGACAAUGGGCGCAAGCCUGAUCCAGCCAGACCGCGUGGGUGAAGAAGGCCUUCGGGUUGUAAAGCCCUUUUGUUGGGAAAGAAAAGCAGCAGGUUAAUACCCCGCUGUUCUGACGGUACCCAAAGAAUAAGCACCGGCUAACUUCGUG
rnacentral:rRNA from 1 species